AUGAUGGCUAGACAUUGCUUGUACGUUACCCAAACACUGGCUCCUUCCACUUCUGGCGCUCCCUCUUCUCGGUUUCCUGCAGCGAACCGAGUUCGUGGCCGCCUGCUGCGUGCGCGAGCAGGAGCUCCGUGCAGCCGCCCCCGACCACCUCUGCAGCUUCGCUCGGCCGCGGCUGUCGCGCCCUGCGGCCCGGCUACUGUGCUCUCCGCCUGGCCUCGCUCCUUGCUCAGCCUGUGCACGGCCUCGCUGCCCCCUGCCUCCACGCGCGUUGUCGCGUCCUCCGCCGGCUGCCGGCUGCGCCGCAUCGCCUCCCCGCACCGGCUCCGCGUCCGGUUGUGCCACUCCCCUCCGCCUGCGUGCGCCCCCAUGGCCGCCUACUCCGCCUCCGACCGCGCCCCGCACGCCUGUUCCACCCGCUGGGUCGACCUGGCCGGCUGCCGGCUCGUUGCCCCAGCCGGCUGCCGGCUCCCCUGCCACCCGGCCGGCUCGAUGACCUGGCUGGCCGCCCUGCGCCGUCGCGCGCCUCCUCGGCUUCGGUCUCGCCCGCGCCUGCCAGCUCUCCCUACGCCGCCUCGCUGCCCUGCCUGCCGGCUGUUCCACGCGGCCGGCUCCGCCUCGUCACCUCCUCGUCGGCUCGAAGACCCCGCGCGGCCGUGCACCGGAUCGCACCCCGGACGGCUCCGGCGCCCCCACCCCUGGCCACGCCGGUUGCUCGCCUCCGCCCGCCGGCUCCCGCCAGGUGCGCUCGCGGCCGCCUGCUCCAUGCUUGCCGGCUCCCGCGUCGGGCGCCGUGGCCGGCUGCGCCUCGCGCGUCCCUACCAGGUUCCGCUCCACCGUCGCCGCCUCACCCGGCCGGCCGCCCACGUGCUGCUUCAGACACUCUCACGUCCGGCUGCUCGUGCAAAAAAAUAA
rnacentral:rRNA from 1 species